rnacentral:rRNA from 1 species
UUAAACCCAAAGAAUUUGGCGGUACCUUAUUCUAUUUAGAGGAACCUGUCCCAUGAUUGAUAGUUCACGAUUAUUUUUACUUAAUCUAUUUGUUUGUAUAUCUCCGUUAUCAGAAAAUCUUUUUAGAGUUUUAAUUUUCAGGAUUUAUUAUUAUAAAAUAUUUCAGGUCAAGGUGCAGCUUAUGAUUAAGAGGAGGUGGGUUACAAUAAAUUUUUGUUUACUACGGAUUAUUUUUUGAAAAAUUUUUAUUAAGGUGGAUUUAAUAGUAAAUUAACUAAUUUAAUUUAAUUGAUAUUAGCUCUAAGGUGUGUACACAUC